UACGGAGGGUGCAAGCGUUGUCCGGAAUUACUGGGCGUAAAGCGCACGUAGGCGGCUUGUUAAGUCAGGGGUGAAAUCCUGGAGCUCAACUCCAGAACUGCCUUUGAUACUGGCGAGCUUGAGUUCGGGAGAGGUGAGUGGAACUGCGAGUGUAGAGGUGAAAUUCGUAGAUAUUCGCAAGAACACCAGUGGCGAAGGCGGCUCACUGGUCCGGUACUGACGCUGAGGUGCGAAAGCGUGGGGAGCAAACAGG
rnacentral:rRNA from 1 species